rnacentral:rRNA from 1 species
UUAACGGCUGCAACGAGAGUUGUGCUAAGGUAGCGUCAUAAGUUGUCUUUUAAUUGGAGAAUGGUAUGAAUGGUUUGACGUAGAAUGACUGUCUUUGGAAAAUUAAACUAAGUUUCCUUUUAAGUGAAAAGGCUUAUAUUUUUGUCAAAAGACGAGAAGACCCUGUCGAGCUUAAUUAAAAUUAUUUGUUUUUGAUAAUUAGAAUUUUUGUUGGGGCAAUAUAGACCAAAAUAACGGUUUAAUUAUUUAAUAAAGAUCCUUUGUUGAAAGAAAAUAGCAAAAGCUACCGCAGGGAUAACAGCGUUAUCCUUCUUAAGAGAUCGAAUUGAGGGAAGGGUUUGCGACCUCGAUGUUGGAUUAUGGAAA